UGCCUCUUCGGCCCGUCCAUUUCCGGGUCGUUGCCCUCGCCGCUCACCUCAGAGCACAGAUCUGCCGAGAUCCUCAUCACAAUCGGGGCAAUGUAUUGGGGUCGUUUACCGCCGCUGACCAGAGCAUAGAGCUGAAGGCCGACGGUGGUGGCGGUGGUCCUCCUGGGUGGUGGUGGUGAUCCUUUGUGUGCGUGUGCUUUGUUUUAGAUUUUAUUCGUUUGGACUUCACGUUUUUGCUGUGUGUGUGAGGUGCCCUUGUUUCUUUCGUUGGAUUCAAUUUCCCCCUGACGAUCACUCUCCCAGCCGGUAAGCCUCAGCUUGCACCUACGUCCUUCCCCAGUUGAGCUUACUUCUCUUUUUCAUCUUUUAUGCCAAACUCUGUUUAUAAUAAUAAAAUGCUUUGUUAUAUUUGAACUCUGUCUCCCGCCCGCCCUGAUUGAACGAACCUGAUAGUCUUAUCGUCAGAGGUGACAAUUAUACUCAUAGUGUAUAGGUCCUUGGGCCCUAACCCAAGGUGGCGUUGUCGGUAACAGAGAAAAUACUCUGACAAAAAAUAGUAAAGCCUCCUCGUGUCGCCACAUUUGCAUCCCUAACUGGAACGUAUUUUCAACGUCCCCAAAUUCUAAAUGCCAAAUUCAGCUGCAAAAUGCAAUGUAUGAGUUUCAGUGUUAACAUACGAGGACCCAAUUAAGAGCAGUUGAUCCUACAUGCUAGAUUGCGGACAAGCAAGGAGAGCAAGAUGGAAUAAGAGCGUCACUCGUUGGAUACCCGUCCGACUCUGAUAAAGGAAGGCAUGUGCAAAGCAGGUUUUAGCCAUGGCCUACGGCAACAGCUGUUACAGCGAAUACCGCUGUUCCAUUUUCUGUAACAUGCACGAGUUUGAAGCGUGCAAAGGCCUAAAACGUACCAUUUGUAUCGUCAUCGAUCACUCGGAAUUGGUGCAUUUGUAUUGUGACAGUGUGCAAUAGCAUGUUGAGUGGCUGAAGAAAAACGUUUGGUAGCCUCUUAGGUGGCAAAAUGAGAGCGCAACGAGCGGGCAGAGCCGUAUUGCGCACCGAGUGGCAUUUUACCCAUAUGAGGAAGACUAAUUAAAAUCAGGUUGUUGUCGGGCGCUUCUUCCCGAGGCAUAAUUCAAUGAGGCGUCAAAUGUUGGUUGAGAUGCUACAUGACCGGGGGGCAGGAUCACAGAUCAUUUACACGUUUUUGCAUUAUUUGAUAGUGUUAUUUAAACCACAUUAAUAUAGUAUUUUUUUAUAUUUAUAUAUAUUUUUAGUUUUAUUAAGUUUUAUAAUCAUAGCUUUGUGUUAUAGUGCGUAGGUUGUAAGUCUUGUAAGGAUCAUGAUAUAUGUAGGGCUAACUAUUUGGUUUUCAAUAACGUGAGGUUUUCUGUCCUUUUAAACCAUUUUAUUUUCAGGUCUAAAUUUUCAGUCUUGUAAUGCAUGUUAUGUAUCUAAUAAUAAGGUGCUAUAUGUGUUCUGUCUUGAAUUAAAAUUACAUAUGUCUUGAUGCUUUGUUUCCAGGUCCAGCUGUGAAGAUUAAUAUGCCAACUCAAACUACAAUUGAAAACAAGUAUGUUUCAUAAAGUAAUUUACACAAAUUAGGAUAACGAACCAAAUAAACGUCUUCAAAAAAAAAUAGCUGAAUGAGUUGUUAACAAAAUAUAUCCCUGUUUGUGUAUUUCAAACAAGUUUGUCGGAAAGAUUGUCAGUAGGCUUCACUGAUCUAUGAAUAACAAAGCAAAUAAAAUGUUCCAGAGAGCUUGGCAUUCAUCUCCCCCUGAAUUUCUCAGGAGA